rnacentral:rRNA from 1 species
CCUACGGGAGGCAGCAGUAGGGAAUCUUCCACAAUGGGCGAAAGCCUGAUGGAGCAACGCCGCGUGGGUGAAGAAGGUCUUCGGAUCGUAAAACCCUGUUGUUAGAGAAGACAGUGCGUGAGAGUAACUGUUCACGUUUCGACGGUAUCUAACCAGAAAGCCACGGCUAACUACGUGCCAGCAGCCGCGGUAAUACGUAGGUGGCAAGCGUUAUCCGGAUUUAUUGGGCGUAAAGGGAACGCAGGCGGUCUUUUAAGUCUGAUGUGAAAGCCUUCGGCUUAACCGGAGUAGUGCAUUGGAAACUGGGAGACUGGAGUGCAGAAGAGGAGAGUGGAACUCCAUGUGUAGCGGUGAAAUGCGUAGAUAUAUGGAAGAACACCAGUGGCGAAAGCGGCUCUCUGGUCUGUAACUGACGCUGAGGUUCGAAAGCGUGGGUAGCAAACAGGAUUAGAUACCCCAGUAGUC